rnacentral:rRNA from 1 species
AUUGAACGCUGGCGGCAGGCCUAACACAUGCAAGUCGAGCGGAUGAAGGGAGCUUGCUCCUGGAUUCAGCGGCGGACGGGUGAGUAAUGCCUAGGAAUCUGCCUGGUAGUGGGGGAUAACGUCCGGAAACGGGCGCUAAUACCGCAUACGUCCUGAGGGAGAAAGUGGGGGAUCUUCGGACCUCACGCUAUCAGAUGAGCCUAGGUCGGAUUAGCUAGUUGGUGGGGUAAAGGCCUACCAAGGCGACGAUCCGUAACUGGUCUGAGAGGAUGAUCAGUCAAAGGGGAACGGAAACACGGUCCAGACCACUCGGGGGGGAGGCAGGGGGGAUUAUUGAAAAAGGGGGGAAGGCCGGACCCAGCAUUGCGGUGGGUGGAAGGAAGGUUUUGGGAUUAAAAACAAUUUUAGGUGGGGAGAAAGGGAAGAAAUUUAUUCCUUGCUUUUUUGAAGUUAACAAAAAAAAAAAGCCCGGGCAAACUCCGUG